rnacentral:rRNA from 1 species
CACGGGGGGAGCAAGCGUUGUUCGGAAUCACUGGGCGUAAAGGGCGUGUAGGCGGUCAGGUAAGUGAGAUGUGAAAUGCCCCGGCUCACCCGGGGACCGGCAUCUCAUACUGCUUGGCUUGAGUACGGGAGAGGAUGUGGGAAUUCCUGGUGUAGCGGUGAAAUGCGUAGAGAUGCGGAGGAACACCAGUGGCGAAAGCGACUUUCUGGUCCUUAACUGACGCUGAGGCGCGAAAGCAUGGGGAGCGAACGGG